rnacentral:misc_RNA from 1 species
CAGGACUCGCAAGACUCCUACAACCCUGUGAACCUACUAUACGAACGUUGCUUCGGCGGGUGCGCCCCGGGGAUUCGUUCCCGAGGCGCGUCAGCCCGCCGGCAGCCUACAAAUUCUGUUUCUUUGCGUUGGCAUCUCGAGAAAAAAAAAAAAUAAGUUA